UACGGGGGGAGCAAGCGUUGUUCGGAUUUACUGGGCGUAAAGGGCGCGUAGGCGGCCAGCGCAAGUCAGUUGUGAAAUCUCCGGGCUUAACUCGGAACGGUCAACUGAUACUGCGCGGCUAGAGUGCAGGAAGGGGCAAUCGGAAUUCUCGGUGUAGCGGUGAAAUUCGUAGAUAUCUGGAGGAACACCGGUGGCGAAGGCGGCAUCCUGGACCAAUAUUGACGCUGAGGAGCGAAAGCCAGGGGAGCAAACGGG
rnacentral:rRNA from 1 species